GUCUCUCUCGCUGGCUUUUUUAAAAUGAGGAACCGCUCCUUGAAUGUUCUGGACAGAGCACAGAAUUGCUUCUUAAGUCAGCCCGGCGCGGUUGCAAUAGACAGCAAAAAGGUAAACGUUUGCCUGAAAUCCGCACGCCAGCUCCACCACCCCGCCCGAUGGUCCCGGUUCCUCUGGGAAUCGUCCUGUAUGCAACAUCUUCACAAGGGUGGCAGGCAGUUGAAUCUCUGGACUUCGUGAGACCACUGGACAUUUGGCAGAGAACCAGGAAGCCACGGUUCCCUUCUGUGAGUCCCUCAGCCGGAAAACUACAAGCUCCUGAUGCAGCUGCUGUCUGCAGACCCCCUAGACUGCCUGGGGAAGUGAGUCGGAGCUCCUGCAGCAGAGGGGUGGAACAGCUACACGAAGAUCCGAAGGUGGCCAAAAAUAACAGCGCUUUCCAGAUGAGGGAGCCAGUUGUCCAGCACAGUGUCAUGGGACAGUGGGUCCUGGUGCCACAAUGCCCGGCAUCUCCA
rnacentral:antisense_RNA from 1 species